rnacentral:misc_RNA from 1 species
GAUGAAGAACGUAGCGAAAUGCGAUAAGUAAUGUGAAUUGCAGAAUUCAGUGAAUCAUCGAAUCUUUGAACGCACAUUGCGCCCGCCAGUAUUCUGGCGGGCAUGCCUGUUCGAGCGUCAUUACAACCCUCAGGCCUCCGGGCCUGGCGUUGGGGAUCGGCGGAGCCCCCCGUGGGCACACGCCGUCCCCCAAAUACAGUGGCGGUCCCGCCGCAGCUUCCAUUGCGUAGUAGCUAACACCUCGCAACUGGAGAGCGGCGCGGCCACGCCGUAAAACACCCAACUUCUGAAUGUUGACCUCGAAUCAGGUAGGAAUACCCGCUGAACUUAAGCAUAUCAAUAAGCGGAGGA